rnacentral:misc_RNA from 1 species
GUGAAUCAUCAAAUUUUUGAACGCAAAUUGCACUCUCUUCGGAGAGUAUGCCUGUUUGAGGGGAAGUAUUAAUAAAAAUAGGUGCGUUGCUUCUUUGUGACGCUGCGGAGUUUGGGUCAGCGUAAUAUCCUUUAGGUUGGAAGAGGUGGACAAUUGAAUUUUUUUGCGCAUUUUAGAUGUACAUAAAUUCUUUUUUUUAUUCGUCUGUCUUAAUGCUCAAAAUGCUAUUAGAUGCGACAAUAUCGUGUGGUUUCGUGUCUAUAAAUUUUUCAUGAUUUGAGAGUAAAUCAGGUAGGAUGAA